rnacentral:snRNA from 1 species
GAUGAAAAGGACUUUGAA